AUUGAACGCUGGCGGCAUGCCUAACACAUGCAAGUCGAACGAGUGGCGGACGGGUGAGUAAGGUCUGGAAACCUGCCUGAUGGAGGGGGAUAACUACUGGAAACGGUAGAUAAUACCGCUUAACAUCCGAUGUGCCCUGAUGGGAUUAGCUAGUUGGUGGGGUAACGGCUCAUCAAGGCGACGAUGCCUAGCUGGCCUGAGAGGGUGACCGGCCACACUGGAACUGAGACACGGUCCAGACUCCUACGGGAGGCAGCAGUGGGGAAUCGUCGGCAAUGGGCGAAAGUCUGAUCGAGCAACGCCGCGUGGAUGAAGAAGGCCUUCGGGUUGUAAAGUACUUUCGGCGGGGAGGCGUUACCCACAGAGGAAGCACCGGCUAACUCCGUGCCAGCAGCCGCGGUAAUAC
rnacentral:rRNA from 1 species